rnacentral:lncRNA from 1 species
GAUUAGAGUUAUGUUGAAUAGAUUCAGUUACUAGGCAGAUGUUGCUCCUAUGUUCUGAUUGGUAGUUCUAGAUGCUGUUAAUGAAUACACACAAAAAUGAUUAUUAAUAAGUAGUGUUGUAGUACAGUGGGAGCCCAUGUUAGUGUAAUAAAAGGUCUUCCUGAAGGUACAAUGAUCCAGCACCUUGCGCUGCCUGGCUCAGCACAGUUGGUAAUCACUGACUUAUCAUUCUCUUGCUCUCUAAAUGGAGUCUGACUCAUACCGAAGACGUAACUCAUCAGUGUCUCCUUCACGCAGGAGCUCCGGUCAGGGGAUUUGGCUGACAGAGAGAAGUGAUGUGGGGGAAAGGAGCCAAAACACACUUCCUUAAGUCAAUGUUUCACAAACUCUUGGUUCAUGGGAG